AUUGAACGCUGGCGGCAGGCCUAACACAUGCAAGUCGAGCGGGGUUUUCGGACCUAGCGGCGGACGGGUGAGUAAUGCGUAGGAAGCUACCCGAUAGAGGGGGAUACCAGUUGGAAACGACUGUUAAUACCGCAUAAUGUCUACGGACCAAAGUGUGGGACCUUCGGGCCACAUGCUAUCGGAUGCGCCUACGUGGGAUUAGCUAGUUGGUGGGGUAAUGGCUCACCAAGGCGACGAUCCCUAGCUGGUUUGAGAGGAUGAUCAGCCACACUGGAACUGAGACACGGUCCAGACUCCUACGGGAGGCAGCAGUGGGGAAUAUUGGACAAUGGGCGCAAGCCUGAUCCAGCCAUGCCGCGUGUGUGAAGAAGGCCUUCGGGUUGUAAAGCACUUUCAGUAGGGAGGAAGCGUUGUGUGUUAAUAGUACACAGCGUUGACGUUACCUACAGAAGAAGCACAGGCUAACUCUGUGCCAGCCGCCGCGGUAACAC
rnacentral:rRNA from 1 species